rnacentral:rRNA from 1 species
AUUGAACGCUGGCGACAUGCUUUACACAUGCAAGUCGAACGGCAGCACGGACUUCGGUCUGGUGGCGAGUGGCGAACGGGUGAGUAAUACAUCGGAACGUACCCAGUAAUGGGGGAUAACUAUCCGAAAGGAUAGCUAAUACCGCAUACGCCCUACGGGGGAAAGAGGGGGAUCGCAAGACCUCUUGUUAUUGGAGCGGCCGAUGGCUGAUUAGCUAGUUGGUGAGGUAAAGGCUCACCAAGGCGACGAUCAGUAGCGGGUCUUAGAGGACGAGCCGCCACACUGGAACUGAGACACGGUCCAGACUCCUACGGGAGGCAGCAGUGGGGAAUCUUGGACAAUGGGCGCAAGCCUGAUCCAGCAAUGCCGCGUGCGUGAAGAAGGCCUUCGGGUUGUAAAGCGCUUUUGUCAGGGAGCAAAUCCUUGUGGCUAAUACCCACCGGGGAUGAGAGUACCUGAAGAAUAAGGACCGGCUAACUACGUGCCAGCCGCCGCAGUAAGAC